rnacentral:rRNA from 1 species
GGACUACAGGGGUAUCUAAUCCCGUUCGAUUCCCACGCUUUCGUGUUUCAGCGUCAGGAGUGGCCCAGUAUGGUGCCUUCGCAUUUGGUGUUCCCCACAAUAUCAACGGAUUUCACCCCUACACUGUGAGUUCCCCAUACCUCUGCCAUCCUCUAAGUCGUGCCCUCUCCCCCGCAUUUUCUGGGUUAAGCCCAAAAGCUUUUACGAAGGACUAACACGACCGCCUACACACCCUUUACGCCCAGUGAUUCCGGGUAACGCUUGAGGCCUCUGUAUUACCGCGGCGGCUGGCAC